GAUGAACGCUAGCGGCAGGCUUAAUACAUGCAAGUCGAGGGGCAGCAUGGGUGUAGCAAUACAUCUGAUGGCGACCGGCAAACGGGUGCGGAACACGUACACAACCUUCCUUUAAGUGGGGAAUAGCCCGGGGAAACCCGGAUUAAUACCCCGUAACAUUAUGAUGUGGCAUCACAUUAUAAUUAUAGCUCCGGCGCUUAAUGACGGGCGUGCGACUGAUUAGGUAGGUGGCGGGGGUAACGGGCCCACCCAAGCCUGCGAUCAGUAACUGGUGUGAGAGCACGACCAGUCACACGGGC
rnacentral:rRNA from 1 species